AUCAAGAUCCGGGAGCUUGUACACUGGAAGAGCUUUUGAUGCCGGAUGAGGCGGAAGCAGGAUUCCGUGCCCCCGUUCUAGGAGCUGCCGAUACUCUAAUUUAAGCUUCAAGCUGCUGGUCUGUUGCAUCAAGGAUUUGAUGGAAACCCAAGUUGAUUAGAUGGUGGAUUGAAUUGAAAUACUCCUCCACUCCAUGACUGGAAGAGGAUUGUCAGCUCCCUAUAUCAUCAGAGAGCCCAUUCGUCACCUAAACACUCCCAGCCCCAAAGCCGUCAAAGAAUGCCCCGUCUGCGGAAUACAUGUUGGCAUGUUGGGAGAGUAGAUAGCCACCUUGUCAGUAAGCAUAACUACAAGAGAGGAACAGAAGCAAAAGAGGAGACUCCAGAAGAGAUGAUGCUCGCAUUUACUGGAUAUCUAGAGCAUGCAUCAGGAAUUGCAGGGAGCAGUGCCUUUGCACAUUGUGGCAUGUUGAACAGAAUCCAAGAUAUGGCAGGUGGAUCCCUGAAGUCGGUUUUUACUGAAUCUAAAGUGCUUUUGAAGUAAGUCAUUUCAGGCAUUGCAGGGAGCAGUGCCAUCGCACAUCGUGGAAUGUUGAAAAGAAUCCAAGAUAUGGCAGGUGGAUCCCUGAAGUCAGUCUUCACUGACUCUAAAGUGCUUCUGAAGUAAGUCUUUUCAGGCAUUGCAGGGAGCAGUGCCAUCGCACAUUGUGGGAUGUUGAACAGAAUCUAAGAUAUGGCAGGUGGAUCCCUGAAGUCGGUCUUCACUGACUCUAAAGUGCUACUGAAGGUAGUGAUUUUAAACACUUUACAGAAAACAAUAUAUACAGUUUGAUAUUUAAUUCAUAUUUAAUGAUCAACUGCACCUUACAUUUUCCUUUCACAUACAUAAACAAGAAAAUUUAAAAUGAAAUAUGUACAUACAUUACUUAUCCCAGAAAGGAGUUGGCACCUUCAGAUCUUUACAGCCUGAAAACUUCCAUUUAUAUAUGGAAAGAUCUGAAGAAUUGCCAAUGCACUGUUUUAAUAAUUAUGCAAA